UACAGAGGGUGCAAGCGUUGUUCGGAAUUAUUGGGCGUAAGCGCGUGUAGGCGGCUUAGUAAGUUGGGUGUGAAAGCCCUCGGCUUAACCGAGGAAGUGCGCCCAAACUGCUUGGCUUGAGUAUGGGAGAGGGAUGUAGAAUUCCAGGUGUAGCGGUGAAAUGCGUAGAUAUCUGGAGGAAUACCGGUGGCGAAGGCGGCAUCCUGGACCAUAACUGACGCUGAGGCGCGAAAGCUAGGGAGCAAACGGG
rnacentral:rRNA from 1 species